rnacentral:lncRNA from 1 species
UGUUUAUUUUUUCCCUCCCAAACAAAGGGACAUGGCAUUUUGAAUUUACAGUCUCAUAUAUGGUCCAGAUUCAGUGUAUUGCUUAAAAAUAAUAAUAAAUUAUAUUAAUACAAAAUUUGGAGAGCAAGUAGAAGGACAAUUUGGUCUUAUUUGUACAAAAUUUAAACAAUAUAAAUUGCCCUUCAUAUUCCUUUCAAAUUCCCUCAUUCUCUUGCCUUCUUUCCUUCACCNNNNNNNNNNNNNNNNNNNNNNNNNNNNNNNNNNNUCCUCAUUCUCAUUCUCUUUGCAUUCAUUUCUUGAACAUGAUAAACUCAAUUUAUUAGAUUCCAUGUACAAUCAGUUUUUAGUGAAGCAUGAAUAUGAACAAAGCAUGAAGCCCAUGAACAAUUUUUGUGUGUAAUUUAUUAUUUUACUUUAUUUGAGACUUAAGUUUUGUGAUUAUUUUUGUUCUUUUUUUUAUAGGUGAGACUCACUUCUUCAAAGGAUCUUGCUUGUGUUUCACAAAGGUAAAGUAAUGUUUUUCUAUCAAGUUCAGUUUUUGGUAUUUAUUUUGUAUUGUUAUUUUAGAAAAGAAUCAUGCAUAACCAAUCAAGUUCGUAGACAUAUGACGCCAUUGGAGUCACUUAUGAAUUUCUCAAGCUUAACUAACUAUUACUUAUUUUGUUUUAACAAUUGGAACAUGUAAAUGGGAUNNNNNNNNNCAAAGGCAUGGUUCAAAUUAUUUUGCAUCAUGAGCAUCUUGGCUAUUUUGUCCUUCAGAGUGUGUCUUCUGCUGAAAACAAAUAUGGUAAUAUGGUAAUUAAAAUUAAAAUAUUAUAUAAUCAAAUUUUUAAUGUAAUAGCCAUGAAAUCCUGUUUUCUCCAUUUGAGUUAACUAUCUAAUUGUUCUAUAAGCAGCAGUUAUGCAUAUGUUUUGCAUUUACUAAUUAAUUAAUAAAUGGAAAUGAAAAGCAUGUACAAGCUGUAUUACGAUAGUUAUAUCCACAAGAUUAAAUAUUUAUUUGCAAGUACAGAUGUUUUUUAUGCAUUCAUAUCAAAAAGUUGUGCUGUAAGUACAGAUGUUUUUUAUAAUUACAUAUUAUUAUAGAGAAAAUCCAACAUAUCUUCAUUGACAU